rnacentral:tRNA from 1 species
GGGGAUUUAGCUCAGCGGCAUAAGCACUUGCCUGGCAAGCAUGAGGUCGUGAGUUCAAUCUCCA